rnacentral:lncRNA from 1 species
GUGUCUUGUGCGAGUCUUCUAGGUGUGCCAUGUGUGUCUUGUGUGCAUGUCAUGGUGUGUGUGAGUGUCUGUGUGUGAGUGUGUGAGUGUGAGUGUGUGUGAGUGUGUGUGUGAGAGUGUGUGUGAGUGUGCACAUGUGCGCGUGUGAGAGUGUGUGUGUGAGAGAGUGUGUGUGUCUUGUGCGAGUCUUCUAGGUGUGCUGUGUGUGUCUUGUGGGUGUGUCAUGGUGUGUGAGUGUGUGUGUGUGUGUGAGUGUGUGAGAGAGAGAUGAAAUUGCAAACGUGCAUCCUGAGACUGACGAGGUGGAGGGAAGGUCUGCCGUCUUGGGUGGUCUUCCUCGGCCCUGGGAGGGAGGGAUCGGAUGGAGCGGAGAUCACGUUUAGCAACAUUUCCAAUAGGGUAAUGACAGCAAUAAUGAUAGCUGUCCCACUUGGGAGGGGAAAUCACAAAGGCCUACACGGCGACAAAAAUAAACAAGUGUGUUUCGCCAGCCGAGGAGGCCCAGCCGCUCUGAACUUGGAAACAUCAAAGUGGAGCUAGUUAUCAGGCAGCCCGAGCCCCAGGCUCCAGCGCGUCCUGCUCAGGGCUUUUAUCAGCCAUUUGCACAAGCCCAGGGGACCUCGCAGAGCACAGCUGUGGGGAGCCAAGCCCGGACCCAGGAGUCCUCAGAGAAGGAUGCUCGGGCCAUGGCCGAUGGACGAGGAGGGGCUCAGAACAGAGCUUCACAAUUUCACAGACACAGCCAAACCGCCGGCAUUCUGAUUCCAGAAUUCAGACCCACAAAGGCAGCGCGAGGAGAGAGAGCCCCGGCUGCAGCGGGCAGAGCCAGGACAGAGUCCACACCCACGGUCCAGCUGGACCCGCCGUGGACCUGCCAGAGCCUCAGCUUCGUCGUUGGCACAAAGGGCACCCAGCAUCCGUCCACGGUGUGCCCCAGCUGCCUCUGAGCCAGGCAUGGCUUGGCAAUUCAGGGACAUAGUGACAAAAUCAGACAGUUUUCCUGACAAAUCAGAUUUUUGGAAAAGUGAAGGUGGUGGUGAGGGAGAUGUCCUGUGCUAGACUGUGUGGACCAGGCCCCCAGGAGAUGCAUGGCAUAGGGCCCCACCCGACAGGGAGGAGGAGAAUCAAGAAAUGCGUGAGGUGGGGGAGGCCCCCGGCACGCCCUGGUGGUGACACUGGAGUCUAGUUCUGACGCGGUUGCCCUGGAGGGACCUGGGUGGGGGACAUUUCUAAAACUGCCUGGGAUCCAUU